UCCCGAAAGGGAUGAGUAGAGUGGCAAACGGGUGAGUAACACGUGGGUGACCUGCCUUCGAGCGGGGGAUAACGUCCCGAAAGGGACGCUAAUACCGCAUGACAUCCCGCCUUUGAAGAGGUGGAGAUCAAAGCUGGGGAUCGCAAGACCUAGCACUCGAAGAGGGGCCCGCGCCUGAUUAGCUAGUUGGUGGGGUAACGGCUCACCAAGGCAACGAUCAGUAUCCGGCCUGAGAGGGCGGACGGACACACUGGGACUGAGACACGGCCCAGACUCCUACGGGAGGCUGCAGUGGGGAAUUGUUCGCAAUGGGCGCAAGCCUGACGACGCAACGCCGCGUGGAGGAUGAAGACCUUCGGGUCGUAAACUCCUUUCGAUCGAGACGAAUGGCUUCCGGGUGAACAAUCCGGGAGAAUGACGGUACCGAGAGAAGAAGCCCCGGCUAACUCCGUGCCAGCAGCCGCGGUAAUACGGGGGGGGCAAGCGUUGUUCGGAAUUACUGGGCGUAAAGGGCUCGUAGGCGGCCAACUAAGUCAGACGUGAAAUCCCUCGGCUUAACCGGGGAACUGCAUCUGAUACUGGAUGGCUUGAGAUUGGGAGAGGGAUGCGGAAUUCCAGGUGUAGCGGUGAAAUGCGUAGAUAUCUGGAGGAACACCGGUGGCGAAGGCGGCAUCCUGGACCAACACUGACGCUGAGGAGCGAAAGCCAGGGGAGCAAACGGGAUUAGAUACCCCGGUAGUCC
rnacentral:rRNA from 1 species